UGAGCCAAGUUUAGGGUUUUCUCAAAACCCAAGCAGUAUUGAACUGAAGAGUUUGAUCAUGGCUCAGAUUGAACGCUGGCGGCAGGCCUAACACAUGCAAGUCGAGCGGAUGAAGGGGGCUUGCUCCUGGAUUCAGCGGCGGACGGGUGAGUAAUGCCUAGGAAUCUGCCUGGUAGUGGGGGAUA
rnacentral:rRNA from 1 species